GACGAACGCUGGCGGCGGGCUUAACACAUGCAAGUCGAACGGAAAGGCCCUGCUUUUGUGGUGUUCUCGAGUGGCGAACGGGGGAGGAACACGUGAGUAACCUGCCCUUGACUUUGGGAUAACUUCAGGAAACUGGGGCUAAUACCGGAUAGGAUCUCCUGCUGCAUGGUGGGGGUUGGAAAGUCUCGGCGGUCGGGGAUGGACGCGCGGCUGAUCAGCUUGUUGGUGGGGGAGGGGCUGACCAAGGCUUUGACGGGUAGCCGGCCCGGGAGGGUGACCGGCGACAUUGCGCCUGAGGGACGGACCAGACUCGUACGGGAGGCAGCAGUGGCAAGUAUUGCCCAAUGGGACGAAGCCUGUUGAAGAGGCGUCGCGUGCGGGAUGACGGCCUUUGGGUUAUAAACCGCUUUAGCCUGUGACGCAGCGUGUGUGACGGUAAUGGGUAAAGAAGCACCGGCUAACUACGUG
rnacentral:rRNA from 1 species